AUGUGUGUGACAUGAGGUGACACUCAGCUGUGCAGGCUGUGAAGGGCAGGGCUCCUGACUGGCACCACUAUUGUCAGGGAAGGAGGCACAGCCCCGAGCGUGGCUGAGGCCUGGCGGCUGCUGUGAGGGCACUGCUGCCACCUCAGGGGAGCAAAGCUGAGUUAAAACUUCACCAAAAUGGGGUGACACAGCCCAGGGUCUGUGGGGUAGUGGCACUGCCUCUGAGUCUCUCUUCAGUGCCUGAUUUUAGGUGUAGAGAUGCUCAAGCUGAGUAACAAAAUGGAGGGAGAGCUGUUGGACUGCCUGAGAGCUGGCGGCGCCAUCGGAGCACACAGCAAAGGAGGAGGAAAGCAGGGCCUUGCCCAUGGAAAUGCUUUGGUAGUUUAAAGGCCAGAUCCCAGGACAUCUUCUCUGGUGCUUUCAGGGGCUGUUUGAAUGUGAGUUCCAGCUGGACUGGUGAGUACGUGUUGAUCCCCACUGUCCCAGCUUUGGGAGGGGACGAGGCCUUUGUGUGUUUAGCUCUCAGUUUGGUUUCUACAUGGUGACUGCUGUGUAGUCAUGUUCUGCUUCACUUUGCACAAACUUUCCAUUGUAGCCCCCUUACACUGACUGAGCUUUGACUGAGACAAAAGAAGGACUGGUAGUGUCAGAGCCAUGGUGGGGCAAGGUUUAAUCUCCAGCUGGUGCUGUACUUACCCAAAAUCAAUAUGAACAGCAGGUUGUCACUGGAACUGGAAAGAGACUCUCUAUGACAGGCUUAUGCUUUUUUAAAAACUAUUUCAGUUUAUCUUGUGCAGCUCUUUUGUAUAGGUAAUUCUUUCUGUUGCAGGGUCUGCUGAAAUGUUCCCAGGCCUGGCUGGAGGAUCAGUGUUGCUUUAAAACCUGAAUAAACAGUUAUACGCCCUGGUAGCUUCAGAUCCAGUAGCCAGAACAAAUGACAUUUUGCAUGAAUUCUUCCAAGUGAAUUGCUCUGUGACCACUGUAGACUUUUGAGUUUUUGACUCAUGAUAUAGAGCGCAGUUAAAGCUUUUCUUGAAGAGCUCUGAAAUGCCCUUCUUUCACCACCCCGAUUGUUUCCCCAGUCCGUGCAGCUAGCUGGGAGCCCAGUAUGGUUUUACUCCUGUGAGUUAUGUUUUGACUUGGGGUUUGGACUUUUUUG
rnacentral:lncRNA from 1 species